CAUGGCUCAGGACGAACGCUGGCGGCGUGCCUAAUACAUGCAAGUCGGACGGCAGCACAGAGAAGCUUGCUCUUCUGGAUGAGUUGCGAACGGGUGAGUAACGCGUAGGUAACCUGCCUGGUAGCGGGGGAUAACUAUUGGAAACGAUAGCUAAUACCGCAUAACAGUAGAUAUCGCAUGAUAUUUGCUUGAAAGGUGCAAUUGCACCACUACCAGAUGGACCUGCGUUGUAUUAGCUAGUUGGUGAGGUAACGGCUCACCAAGGCAACGAUACAUAGCCGACCUGAGAGGGUGAUCGGCCACACUGGGACUGAGACACGGCCCAGACUCCUACGG
rnacentral:rRNA from 1 species